rnacentral:lncRNA from 1 species
GCCUUCACAAUGCCCAGCCUCUGUCUUCUCUUGGUCUCUUCUCUCUGACUAUAGGGCAAAGGAGGAGCCCAACAUCCUGGGUUGGAGUUUGGAUGCAGCCCCAGCUGUGUGACCCCGGGGCCAAUCCCAAUCCAUCUCUGAACCCCACCCGCUGCAGAGGGCUUCCCCCCACAACAUCCAAAGAGUGUCUUUGAGGGGCUGGAGCAGAAACAUUGCCUCUCAGAUCCAAGACCCUGUUUGGGGUGGCACAAGCCUUCUGAGGAAAUGCAGGCACAGAGGAAGACAUUCAUUCUUUCAAAAUCAUUUGUUCAACCAAUGCAGCGGCCUACUACGAGUGUGACAUAGUUCUAGGUGCUGGAGUUCAGCGGGAGCCAGGUAAUUUGCCUAAUAGCAGUGGAUUUGAAGACUGUUCAAGCCUGGUAGCACCAGCAGACCAGGUCGGCGCAGGCCUCAGCCCCGUGGCACUCACAAUCUAGAAGUGGGAGACAGACAAUACACGAAUGAAUGAGACCAUUUAAAGAUGCAGAAAAUAAAAUAGAGGGAGGGAAUGGGAUGCGCCGUCGGCUUAUUGGAGGUGGGCCAGGGCUAUGUGAAGGACCGAGGAGCCGCAGGGCGGGGGUGCAGGAGCCCCGGCACGGCGCCCUCUCUGCGGAGCCGACUGGGCGGCGGUCCCGACGCACGCUCCUAGGGUCAGCCGCAAUUACCGCCUUUAUUAUUAUAAGUCGCGGCCCCCGCAC